rnacentral:rRNA from 1 species
CAAUAGCGUAUAUUAAAGUUGUUGCGGUAAAAAAGCUCGUAGUUAGAUUUCUACCGAAGAUAGCCGGUCGGGUCUUCGACCUUGUAUCUGGUUUUGUCUUUGGUAUCCUCAUAGGGAACGUUUCUGCGCUUUAUUGCGUGGUGCGGUAUCUAUGACUUUUACUUUGAGGAAAUUAGAGUGUUCACGGCAGGCAAACGCCUUGAAUAUAUUAGCAUGGAAUAAUAACAUAGGAUCUUCGUCCUAUUUUGUUGGUUUCUAGGGCUAAGAUAAUGAUUAAUAGGGAUAAUUGGGGGCAUCUGUAUCAACGCGUCAGAGGUGGAAUUCUUGGAUUGCGUUGCGACAAACUACUGCGAAAGCAUUUGCCAAGGAUGUUUUCAUUGA